rnacentral:rRNA from 1 species
GACGAACGCUGGCGGCGUGCCUAAUACAUGCAAGUCGUGCGGAGCGGCGGACGGGUGAGUAAUGCCUAGGAAUCUGCCUGGUAGUGGGGGAUAACGUCCGGAAACGGGCGCUAAUACCGCAUACUAUCAGAUGAGCCUAGGUCGGAUUAGCUAGUUGGUGGGGUAAAGGCCUACCAAGGCGACGAUCCGUAACGGGUCGGAGAGGAUGAUCAGUCAAACGGGAACUGAGACACGGUGCAGACUCCGACGGGAGGCAGCAGUGGGGAAUAUUGGACAAUGGGCGAAAGCCUGAUCCAGCCAUGUCGCGUGUGUGAAGAAGGUAUGCGGAUUGUAAAGCACUUUAAGUUGGGAGGCGUUACCAAAAGAAUAAGCACCGGCUAACUACGUGCCAGCAGCCGCGGUAAUUC